GACGAACGCUGGCGGCGCGCUUAACACAUGCAAGUCGAGCGAGAACCGGCCUUCGGGCCGGGGAAAGCGGCGAACGGGUGAGUAACACGUGGGUAAUCUGCCCUCGGCACCGGGAUAGCCCGGGGAAACCCGGAUUAAUACCGGAUGGCCCUUUGAGUCCUCGGAUUCAACGGAAAAGGUAGCUUCGGCCUCCGGCCGAGGAUGAGCCCGCGGCGGAUUAGCUUGUUGGUGGGGUAACGGCCUACCAAGGCGACGAUCCGUAGCUGGUCUGAGAGGAUGAUCAGCCACACUGGAACUGAGACACGGUCCAGACUCCUACGGGAGGCAGCAGUGGGGAAUAUUGGACAAUGGGCGCAAGCCUGAUCCAGCCAUGCCGCGUGUGUGAAGAAGGCCUUCGGGUUGUAAAGCACUUUCAGCGAGGAGGAAGGGGUGUGUGUUAAUAGUACACACCUUUGACGUUACUCGCAGAAGAAGCACCGGCUAACUCUGUGCCAGCAGCCGCCGCCGUAA
rnacentral:rRNA from 1 species